CAAAAUGUUGAGAUUUUCCUGUCAGUGAACUUAAGAAGAACCUAAUGCUCAUACUUUUUUGAAGAAUAAGGAUGAAUCUUGGAGAAGUGUAGCGUAAAUGCUAAGUCAUGUCCUGAAAAAGUGAUUGAGCACCUGGUGGGAAGGCAUAGCCAACGCAGAGAAGCUCAUGUGCAUGCAAUGCAUGUGAGUGAUUGGAAGGGAUGGAGCCAGGAGCCAUCCCCUCCCAGUGCUUAUUUAAGGGUUGGCAGUGGUGGCAUAAGUAUCUUGUUGGAUAUCCCUGCUUCUUGGAGGCUUUCCAAAGAGAAGCUUUAAAUACUAUUAAUAUAAUGUCAAAAAUUCUGAAAGACAGCUACAAAUGAUGUAGCAGGAAUCUCAAUACUAUACAGGACUUUUUCUCUGAUAAAUGGUGAGACAAUCUUGGGCACUGAAGAAAGAAAAUCUUAUUUUAUUUAAAAUUAUUAGUA